rnacentral:lncRNA from 1 species
UUCUUUUUCUUUGUUUUCCUCUCUGCUCAGGAGCAUAGUUCAAGGGGUUGGAGAGGGAGAAUGAUGUUUCACUGCCUCCUCUUGGGCCUAGGCGAUGCAAGGGGAGCUCUGCUGUUGGCUCCCUUGGGAACAGGAUGCUGCUUCCCGUGGGAUGAAGUUAGGGAAAUGACCUGACCAUGCCCACGAGCAGGGGCUCCCGGCAGCCAGAAGACAUGCAGCUGGGGAGUCCACAGCUCUUGAAGUCACAGCAAAGGAUUCAGCUGUCAGAUCCCGUGGAUAACAUGGCUCCUCCACUUCUGCUUUGACAUCUUUGGAGUUUCCGGGUGCAAAAGACAUUGGCAAGCAGAUAUCUCAAAGCCAGUGAUGUUCCACUAGCCCUCCUGGAGUGUCAUUGUGUACACAUUAUCCAAAAACUCAGGAAGGCCAGGAGGCAAAGGAGGUUUUGUCAGACCCCUCUGCCUCAAAACAGUCUGGGUGUUGGUGUUUGCAGCACAAGCACAGAUAACCAUCCCCUGGGACAGCCCAUUUCUGUGGGAUUGGGAUCCAGCUCUUCAGAUCGAAGGUCACUGAGUGCUCAGACCAGCUGGAUCAAGGCUGUUCCCUCUGCAUGGCAGAGAAGGAUUUUCCCCUUGCUCAUGCCCUCCUCACCACUUGCGUAG